UGGGGAAUAUUGCACAAUGGGCGCAAGCCUGAUGCAGCCAUGCCGCGUGUAUGAAGAAGGCCUUCGGGUUGUAAAGUAUUUUCAGCGGGGAGGAAGGCGUUGUGGUUAAUAACCACAGCGAUUGACGUUACCCGCAGAAGAAGCACCGGCUAACUCGUGCCAGCAGCCGCGGUAAUACGAGGGUGCAAGCGUUAAUCGGAAUUACUGGGCGUAAAGCGCACGCAAGGCGGUCUGUCAAGUCGGAUGUGAAAUCCCCGGGCUCAACCUGGGAAGCU
rnacentral:rRNA from 1 species